GGGAUUGCCCUAGUAACGGCGAGUGAAGCGGCAACAGCUCAAAUUUGAAAUCUGGCGUCUUUGGCGUCCGAGUUGUAAUUUGCAGAGGGCGCUUUGGCAUUGGCAGCGGUCCAAGUUCCUUGGAACAGGACGUCACAGAGGGUGAGAAUCCCGUACGUGGUCGCUAGCCUUUACCGUGUAAAGCCCCUUCGACGAGUCGAGUUGUUUGGGAAUGCAGCUCUAAAUGGGAGGUAAAUUUCUUCUAAAGCUAAAUACUGGCCAGAGACCGAUAGCGCACAAGUAGAGUGAUCGAAAGAUGAAAAGCACUUUGGAAAGAGAGUUAAAAAGCACGUGAAAUUGUUGAAAGGGAAGCGCUUGCAGCCAGACUUGCCUGUAGUUGCUCAUCCGGGUUUUUACCCGGUGCACUCUUCUAUAGGCAGGCCAGCAUCAGUUUGGGCGGUUGGAUAAAGGUCUCUGUCACGUACCUCCUCUCGGGGAGAACUUAUAGGGGAGACGUAAUGCAACCAGCCUGGACUGAGGUCCGCGCAUCUGCUAGGAUGCUGGCGUAAUGGCUGUAAGCGGCCCGUCUUGAAACACGGACCAAGGAGUCUAACAUCUAUGCGAGUGUUUGGGUGUCAAGCCCGAGCGCGUAAUGAAAGUGAACGGAGGUGGGAACCUUUCGGGGUGCACCAUCGACCGAUCCUGAUGUCUUCGGAUGGAUUUGAGUAAGAGCAUAGCUGUUGGGACCCGAAAGAUGGUGAACUAUGCUUGAAUAGGGUGAAGCCAGAGGAAACUCUGGUGGAGGCUCGCAGCGGUUCUGACGUGCAAAUCGAUCGUCAAAUUUGGGCAUAGGGGCGAAAGACUAAUCGAACUAUCUAGUAGCUGGUUCCUGCCGAAGUUUCCCUCAGGAUAGCAGUAACGUUUUCAGUUUUAUGAGGUAAAGCGAAUGAUUAGAGGCCUGGGGGUUGAAACAACCUUCACCUAUUCUCAAACUUUAAAUAUGUAAGAAGUCCUUGUUACUUAAUUGAACGUGGACAGUUGAAUGUAUCGUUACUAGUGGGCCAUUUUUGGUAAGCAGAACUGGCGAUGCGGGAUGAACCGAACGCGGGGUUAAGGUGCCAGAAUAUACGCUCAUCAGACACCACAAAAGGUGUUAGUUCAUCUAGACAGCAGGACGGUGGCCAUGGAAGUCGGAAUCCGCUAAGGAGUGUGUAACAACUCACCUGCCGAAUGAACUAGCCCUGAAAAUGGAUGGCGCUCAAGCGUAUUACCCAUACCCCGCCGCUGGGGCAAGAUUUAAGCCCCAGCGAGUAGGCAGGCGUGGAGGUCCGUGACGAAGCCUUGG
rnacentral:rRNA from 2 species